UGGGGUGUGGCUUAGUGGUGGAGCGCUUGCCUGGCAUGUGUGAGGCACUAGGUUCAAUUCUCAGCACCACAU
rnacentral:tRNA from 1 species